GCGUGCCUAAUACAAGCAAGUCGAGCGAAUCUUUGGGAGCUUGCUCCUAAAGGUUAGCGGCGGACGGAUGAGUAACACGUGGGCAACCUGCCUAUAAGACUGGGAUAACUUCGGGAAGCCGGAGCUAAUACCAGAUCAUUCUUUUCUACUCAUGUAGAAAAGCUAAAAGACGGUUUACGCUGUCACUUAUAGAUGGGCCCGCGGCGCAUUAGCUAGUUGGUGAGGUAACGGCUCACCAAGGCCACGAUGCGUAGCCGACCUGAGAGGGUGAUCGGCCACACUGGGACUGAGACACGGCCCAGACUCCUACGGGAGGCAGCAGUAGGGAAUCUUCCGCAAUGGACGAAAGUCUGACGGAGCAACGCCGCGUGAGUGAUGAAGGUUUUCGGAUCGUAAAACUCUGUUGUUAGGGAAGAACAAGUACGAGAGUAACUGCUCGUACCUUGACGGUACCUAACCAGAAAGCCACGGCUAACUACGUGCCAGCAGCCGCGGUAAUACGUAGGUGGCAAGCGUUGUCCGGAAUUAUUGGGCGUAAAGCGCGCGCAGGCGGUCCUUUAAGUCUGAUGUGAAAGCCCACGGCUCAACCGUGGAGGGUCAUUGGAAACUGGGGG
rnacentral:rRNA from 1 species